CGCCGCGCGCGCUCGGGGGGAGGGGGCGAGCGCAGGCCCCGCCCCUGCCCUGCCCUCCGCGAAGGUUCCGGGAUCGAUCAAAGCCGGUCCUCCUCUAGGGUUUCGCCCGCGGGCGGCCCGGCGCUUCUCGCGCUUCAAAGGCGGCGCCGAGAUCCCAGCGCCCCCGACUUCGCUCCUCUCAGACCGACAGAAACGCAGCAUCCGAGCUUUGUUUUAUGAAAGCUGUUGUAUAGCCAAGAGAUUUUUCAAAGGAAACUAAGGCACAGAAAAGGUAAAUGACCUUGGCCAAAGCCCUAUCCGGUGGGUUGUAAUAAAAUUAAAAGAUAUAAUGCAGCCUGACAUGGUGGCACACACCUAUAAUCCCAGCAGUCAGGAGGCUGGGGCAGAAGAAUCACCAUGAAUUUGAGGCCAAUGUGGGCUGCAUAGUGAGUUUAAUAAGACCAGCCUACCUAGUGAGACCUUGUCUCAGAAAACAAAACACAAAACAAAACCAAAAAGAUACAAUGCAGCAUUGACCCAAGUGUUUUUUCAGGGUCUCACUAAGAAGUUACACAGAGUGAGCUCGAACUUCUGACUCUCCUACCUCAGCUUCUUGGAGUGCUGGGGAGACACGCACCACCACACUGGGCUACCUGUCAGCUCUUUAAGAUAGAAACUAUUUAAUUUUGACAUGACCAUGUCUGUUGUUUUGUUAAACUCUAGGGUGCUUUGUAGAGUAUUCUGUCUAGAUGUCCCUUUAUGGACUUCUAAUUGCAGUCCUACAACCUUUAUGGAACUAGAUUGGCUGGACAAGACAAACUCAUUUGUGCCAUGCUUGUGAAGGCAGGAGCAUCAUUCUGAUAGGGCUGCCAGGACAUAGUGCUUCAAACUGGGUGCUUAGCCAAAAGAAAUCCUUUGUCUCACAGUUCUGGAAGCUAGCAGUCCAAGGUGGAGGUGACAACACAGCUCUGUUCGAGGAUUGUAAGGAAGGAUCUGUUCCAUUCUCGCCCCAGCUCCUGGUGGUUUUCUGGAGAACUUUGGUCUUCUGUGGCUUUUACAAGCAUUGCUUUGAUCCCUCUCUUCACUUUCACACGGACUUGUCAUGAUGUGUGUAUCCAGAAUUUCCCCAAUCACUCUGGAUUAGGGGGUCACCCUACUCCAGUAUGAUCUCAUUUUAAUUAAUUGCAUGUUCAAUGACUAUUUGCAAAUAAAGUCAUGUGCUAAGGUACUGGGAGCAUGCAUGUGGGAGAG
ensembl:lncRNA